rnacentral:rRNA from 1 species
UACGAAGGGGGGCUAGCGUUGCUCGGAAUUACUGGGCGUAAAGCGCACGUAGGCGGCUUUGUAAGUUAGAGGUGAAAGCCCGGGGCUCAACUCCGGAAUUGCCUUUAAGACUGCAUCGCUAGAAUUGUGGAGAGGUAAGUGGAAUUCCGAGUGUAGAGGUGAAAUUCGUAGAUAUUAGGAAGAACACCGGUGGCGAAGGCGGCCCACUGGAUCGGUACUGACGCUGAGGUGCGAAAGCGUGGGGAGCAAACAGG